AUGCCGAAUAUGUCGCUCAAGACCGUUCCGAUUUCGGAUCGUUCUCCUUGCCAUCAAACCACCUCGAGUACGUACUACACACAUAUAGCAGCCUCCGUCCUCCUCCAUGGCCCGGAGCCAGGCAGCCAGCAGACCCGCCUAGAAGCCUGCGGCCGCCGCAUCCAUCUGCAAAGCAUGAGGGGCCGCGACCUGACCGGCCCGCUGCCGGACGACGUCCUCCAGCACGUGCUCUCCUUCCUGCCGUCGCGCGAAACCGUCCAGACGUCCGUUCUCUCCCGGCGCUGGCGCCACCUCUGGAAGUCCACCCCCGCCGUCCGCGUCAGCGGCCGGGGAGACGGCUUCCGCCUCUUCGUCAACAGCCUGCUGCGCCACCGGAACGACGCCUCGCCGCUGCCGCUGCGCGCCUUCGAGAUCGACGACCUCGUGAAAGCCCCCCAGCCGUCCACCAACUUCUUCUUUGACGACGAUGACGACGAUGACGACGAGGACAGCGACGAGGACGUCCCCGAGACCGACCCCCACCCGGACGUCGGUCUGUGGGUCAGGCACGCCUUAUCCACGUGCCGCGCCACCUCGCUCACGGCGCGCUUGGACGAGGAGGGCCUCCUGCCGUGGCGUCCGCGCCCCCCUUUCUCCUUCACGUCCGACCAUCUCACGACCAUGCACCUCGAGUUCGCCGAGCUCGCCGGCGGCCUCCUCGACUUCUCCCCCUGCCCGGCGCUCCUGCGCCUCAGCCUCAGCGGCGACGCCAUAGUCUCGCCCUCGCUGGAGCGCCUCAGCAUCGUCCGCUGCGACAUCCCGAUCGGCCGGAACACGGCCGGCCGGACCGCCACGAUGAGGAUCUCCACGCCCAACCUCCGUCAUCUGCAGAUAUCCGAUAGCUGUGACGGGGAACAGACACCUCCGUCCCUCGACAGCAUGCCGUUGUUGACGACGGCGAGCAUCCGGUUUACGGGGAGCACCCCACCAAUGGUCACGCUUCCUUGCUUCUGCAUGGCUUGUCAGAGGCCACGAGCUUGGAGCUUACGGCUUCGACUCCUGAUGGAAAGGCACAAAUGCACAAUAGCAAUCCUACAAGGUGACUUGAGAUGGUGCCCUACAUUCACCGAGUUAAGGACUUUGAUACUGAACGAGUGGUGUCUAUAUGACGAUGUAACUGCGCUUGCAUGCCUUCUGCGGCACACACCCGCACUAGAGACUUUGCAACUUGAUUUCAAGAGCAGCGAUACACUCCGGGAGAAAACAAAAGGAAGUUGUAUCAUAUUAAAAGAGUUAUUUCCUACACUUGAAAACCUGAAGACAGUGAAGAUCGGAGGGCACUGCUCAUAUUCUGACACAAAGAACCACGAAAUUAUCAAGUUGUUCAGUGAUUGGGGCAUACCUCGGUGUAAAGUUAAGUACGCUCUGAACUUUGAAGAAUAUUUGAAGCCUAAUGUGGGGAUGACAUUUCAAGGACUGAAGGCUGUGGAGGAGUUCUACAAAUCUUAUGCACAUCACUCUGGUUUUGGGGUUCGUAUUGGACAGCAAAAGAAGUUAGAAAAUGAGAUAGUUCGCACUAACAGUUGCAAUCAGUACAUGUUUGCUCUUGGCUCAUCCAAACAAGAUCAAUUGCUACUGCGAUUUGGCAACAGGAGUUCAUCUAACAAGAUCAAUUACUCCUACGUACGUGACCACACGUCCACACCAUCUACUGCAGUGGCACUGAUGGCGAGUGUGGUGGUCGCUCGUGUCACAGGCCGUAGCCGCCGGGAUGCGGCCGCGGCCUACGCGGGUCUCCGUUGCAGGCUCCUCAUGCUGCGCUCCGUCGCACGCUCCAUGUCAAAUGCUCCUUCUUGGCUCGUCGCCGGCUGCCGUCCACGUCGUGGCACUCCGUCCUGGCUCGUCGCCGGCUGCCGUCCACGUCGUGGCUGCUGCGGGGAUGGGGCUUUGGAGGGACAAUGA
rnacentral:rRNA from 1 species